CUUUGAUCUCUUCUCUGCCAAUAAAGCACGAUAAUAUGACUUUAAAACACACCCUAGAAGGCCUACUCUAUAUGAUAAGCGAUACUAUGACACACAUUGUCUUAUUUAUGGAUAAUAUUCAUAAAAUAUCAGGGUUUAAAAAAAGGCAAACUGAGUAAAACAUCCAAUUGAAGGACACACCCAUCAGUAGAAUCAAUAGAUUUUAGACAAACUGACUCUGGAAAGUAUCCUAACAUAAAUAAGUUUAGACUGUCAGCAAAUGGCCCUCCAUAUGGAGAGCCUGUGCCACAGAGUGCAGCAGCUGUUUGACUCUAUUAGAAGCUCCAAACUCCACAUUUCAGAUAUGUGCUGCAAAGAGGCUAAAGCACGUUAGCCUAGCACUCAAUGCUUUAAUCCUCGAGCACACAUGUUCAUGAACAAAAGCAUUGUGCUGGAGUCAUACGAAAAUAAAUUAUAUUAAAAUAUUUUGCCGAUACAUUCAUAUAUAUAAUUUGCAUUAAAUCCAUAACUUUCCAUAAUUCAAAUGAGCUGGUUGGACAUUAUUGAUGUGGUGGCCAUGUAAUAUGCUUUGUCUGCAUAUGGAACAUUUAGUUUAGUCAUGCUUUCCUAUUCACCAUUUGCAUUUUUUUUAUUGACCUUUUAAAGCAAAAUCUUAGUGCAAACCAUGAAGAUUGAUCAAUGUCCUCAGCACAAAACACAAACAGCAGCACACAAUAUUCUGUCAGGAAGAAGAUCUAACGGGAAUAAAUACUUUGGCUUGGGUAUAAUAUCAAAGGUUACCGCAGUGCAUCACAUUUGUUCUCCUUGGCAUAUUUCUCUUCCUCUGUCUGAACACAUGGUACCUCAAACACCUGCCGCUGGUCUGGUCAUUACCUUUUUGUCUAUAAUAAAAGUCAAAGCAAUGACUUGAUGCAUGUUAGAAACCUUUACAGAUAAAUCAAAAGCAAGGCAGAUACCUUUUUGUGUACGACAUCAAAACAAUGACGACAAAGGAACACCUCUUGUUGUGACACGUGCCAUAUUUCUUUCUUUAUUUCUGCACUGAGGAAAGAACAAGACAUAGGAAAUGACAUUGCCGGUUUACUUAAAGCAGACAUGGAGCGAGCUCUGAAGGCUGUGAAAUAACGUCGGCUAAGAGCAGUCGAUGGUCUCACCACCAGGAGGACGAGACAAAAGGGCACAGCGAGCCAUGAAUCAUAUGCUGCUGUCACCCGACCCCGAGCCAUGACCCCUCGCUGUGUGACUCUUUGUUUUGGUCUUGUGUAAUGAAUGGAUCUGCUUUAAGCAUCCUUUUGCCCCAGUAUUCAAAUAAUGAUCAUAUUGUAUGACCAGAGCUUAGUUAAUUACAUCCAUGGAGAUCAGACCUUAAGAUCCAGAGGGACAGGUGGUCUUUCAACAUUCGUUUGUCCUUGUACCAAAAUAUGAACAAUUGUUGUAAAAUGAUAUUUCAGUGUUUGCCGCUAUCUUUUUCCAUGGUGCGUUCGGGCGCUGUCACUGAGGGCAAAUGCUCAGGAUUUAGGUGCUGUUCAAUUUAAAAAUAUUUGUUGUGCUCAUUCUCUGGGCAGCCACGGGUGUGAGCGUUUGGUGCCAGAGUCGGGAUUAGACACAGAGACACUUGGAGGCUGCUCCAACAGUCCUGCAGUGUGACUUUCACUUCAGCCGCUGCGACUGAGGUUGAGUCACUGGGGCAAGACGAUUCAAGAUGAUUCAAGACGAUUCAAGAUGAUUCAACCCUUCAGGAGAUCGGCCUCGUGAGACGAUUAUGACUAAACCGUCUAGAACUCAAAAACUAUAGAUUUUCUCUGGGAAUUUCACAUCAUAAACGGAGUACAAGUCUCUUUUUUUUUUUUUUUUUAAACCCUGAGGGGAAGUUAUUUGCCUGAUGCUGGCAAGGUUUUGUACCUAAAUCAAUAAUGUGCACAUAUGAGGGAAUGUGCUGGGUUGGAGCAUUUGAGCCGUUCAUCAAAAGCUCGCUGAAUAGAAAGGGUCUGAACGCACUUUGUUCUUUCCAACAUGGCGUAUCUGUGUUGAGCGUCAGGGGUCAUUCAAAGGUCACAGCGAAAGAAGAAAUGAAACAUAUUGCUCAGUGAAAAUGGUGUCCUCCCUCUUCGGCCUGUGCCCUGAAUACCGAGCGACAGGCUGCUGGCCUUAAAGCCGCAGGGCUCCGACUGCUGCUGUCAGUGAGACUGGAGACAGGAAGGAGUCCGAUGAAGAGCUUGAUACCGCUCUCAUGUCUGCAGCUAACGCAGCAGCUGAGAGGGAUAACUUAGCGUAGCUUUGAAAGCUACCAACACCUCUGAGUCUCUAACGAGCUUCGCCAGCAGAAUCAAGGGAUCGCUUCCAUGUGUCCAAGUAUGGAGUAAAUCCGUCUCUUUGUCUUUCCAGGGCGAGAAGACAUGUGGCUAACAGCUAGUAGCUAACGGAUGUACGGCACUCACACCGAGGUGAGACGUGUGUGGCUUCAUCCAGUCGUUGCAAACCCACAACCGAGUACAUCUUUAUCGUUUAUAAAAAACAAAAAGUAAUGUUAUAGUAUGCAACAAAAUGUAACCCUAACCCUAACCCAUCUGUUGGAUGUUUAAACAGGCAAAUGUUUGCUAACUAAUUUGCCACUUUGACAACUUUAUACGUUGAUUAUACAGGAAUGUUGAGUUUACAACAUCCACAAGGAGCAAACCAAAGAAUAAUACUGCCAUAAGUUGUUGAUGUACGCGAUGGAUUUUUUAAAAGUUUGGUAUUGAUUAAUCAGGAUUGUCUCGUGUGAAUGUUGGACUUGUUUUUAUGUUGAUGUUCUGUUUUAAUGUUGUUUCUAUCUUUCAUGCUUUUAUCUUUUAUUCUGUAUUAUUUUAUUGUAAGGUGACCUUGGGUGACUUGAAAGGCGCCUCCAAAUGAAAUGUAUUAUUAUUAUUAUUA